rnacentral:piRNA from 1 species
UUUAUUCUAGGCCUUCCUAUGG